rnacentral:misc_RNA from 1 species
GAUGAAGAACGCAGCGAAAUGCGAUACGUAAUGUGAAUUGCAGAAUUCAGUGAAUCAUCGAAUCUUUGAACGCACAUUGCGCCCGCCAGUAUUCUGGCGGGCAUGCCUGUUCGAGCGUCAUUUCAACCAUCAAGCCCCAGGCUUGUGUUGGGGACCUGCGGCUGCCGCAGGCCCUGAAAACCAGUGGCGGGCUCGCUGUCACACCGGGCGUAGUAGAUUUUAUCUCGCUCAGGGCGUGCUGCGGGUCCCGGCCGUUAAAAGCCUUUUUUUACCCAAGGUUGACCUCGGAUCAGGUAGGAAGACCCGCUGAACUUAAGCAUAUCAAUAAGCGGAGGA